rnacentral:rRNA from 1 species
GAUGAACGCUGGCGGCGUGCCUAAUACAUGCAAGUCGAGCGAAGCGGGGACGGGUGAGUAACACGUGGGUAACCUCCUAUAAGACUGGGAUAACUUGGGGAAACCGGAGAUAAAGCGGAGACUUAUAGAUGGAUCCGCGCUGCAUUAGCUAGUUGGUAAGGUAACGGCUUACCAAGGCAACGAUGCGUAGCCGACCUGAGAGGGUGAUCGGCCACACUGGAACGGAGACACGGUCCAGACUCCUACGGGAGGCAGCAGUAGGGAAUCGUCCGCAAUGGGGGAAAGCCUGACAGAGCAACGCCGCGUGAGUUAUGAAGGUCUUCGGAUCGUAAAACUCUGUUAUUAGGGAAGCGGUAUCUAACCAGAAAGCCACGGCUAACUACGUGCCAGCCGCCGCUGUAAUUC